GGGUUGUGAAUUGAGUAGUAGGCUACGCUUCUUUUCGUGUUUUCUUUCGUGGGAUGAGUUUUUGUUCUUGUAUUUGACGACGAAAUCGGUGAAUACGAGAGGUUGAUUGGAAAGCGAUGCCGGGACCAGCGUCAGAUUGUAGGUUCAGUGACGGCGAUACGACAAUGUUUUAUAGAUUUGUAUCAUUGAGUGGAUUUUGGUCGAAGCAUCGCGAUGACGUUGGCUGCAAUUAACUCCAGAAGGGUAGUGAUUAGUGAAUGAACGGCUUAGUUAAAG